rnacentral:rRNA from 1 species
UGUAAGCGUAUACCAAAGUUGUUGCAGUUAAAACGCUCGUAGUCGGAAUUUGGCAGUUCCGGAUGUGUGCACGUCGUGUGCGCACUUCGCGGGGAUUGCUUUUGUGGUCUUGCGUAGGAUGAGGCACUUUUAUUAGUGAACGUCCUCACGCAACCACUUUUUACUGUGAGAAAAUCAGAGUGCUCAAAGCAGGCGUUUGCCGUGAAUGUAUUAGCAUGGAAUAAUAGAAUAGGACUUGGUUCUAUUUUGUUGGUUUGUUGGGACUGAGUAAUGAUUAAGAGGGACAGUUGGGGGCAUUUGUAUUUCGGUGCUAGAGGUGAAAUUCUUAGAUUACCGAAAGACAAACUGCUGCGAAAGCGUCUGCCAAGGAUGUUUUCACUGA